rnacentral:rRNA from 1 species
CCCUUGGCCUUGACAUACUAAGAACUUUCCAGAGAUGGAUUGGUGCCUUCGGGAACUUAGAUACAGGUGCUGCAUGGCUGUCGUCAGCUCGUGUCGUGAGAUGUUGGGUUAAGUCCGCAACGAGCGCAACCCUUUUCCUAUUUGCCAGCGGGUAAUGCCGGGAACUUUAAGGAUACUGCCAGUGACAAACUGGAGGAAGGCGGGGACGACGUCAAGUCAUCAUGGCCCUUACGGCCAGGGCUACACACGUGCUACAAUGGUCGGUACAAAGGGUUGCUACCUCGCGAGAGGAUGCUAAUCUCAAAAAGCCGAUCGUAGUCCGGAUCGCAGUCUGCAACUCGACUGCGUGAAGUCGGAAUCGCUAGUAAUCGCGGAUCAGAAUGCCGCGGUGAAUACGUUCCCGGGCCUUGUACACACCGCCCGUCACACCAUGGGAGUUUGUUGCACCAGAAGUAGGUAGUCUAACCGCAAGGAGGACGCUUACCACGGUGUGGCCGAUGACUGGGGUGAAGUCGUAACAAGGUAGGCGUAGAUGA